rnacentral:rRNA from 1 species
CGUUCCCGGGCCUUGUACACACCGCCCGUCAAACCAUGGGAGUGGGUUGUACCAGAAGUAGGUAGGCUAACCGUAAGGAGGCCGCUUACCACGGUAUGAUUCAUGACUGGGGUU